CGUAGGGUGCGAGCGUUAAUCGGAAUUACUGGGCGUAAAGCGUGCGCAGGCGGUUUUGUAAGUCAGAUGUGAAAUCCCCGGGCUCAACCUGGGAACUGCGUUUGAAACUACAAGGCUAGAGUAUGGCAGAGGGGGGUAGAAUUCCACGUGUAGCAGUGAAAUGCGUAGAGAUGUGGAGGAAUACCAAUGGCGAAGGCAGCCCCCUGGGUCAAUACUGACGCUCAUGCACGAAAGCGUGGGGAGCAAACAGGAUUAGAUACCCUGGUAGUCCACGCCCUAAACGAUGUCUACUAGUUGUUGGGAGAGUAAAAUCUCUUAGUAACGCAGCUAACGCGUGAAGUAGACCGCCUGGGGAGUACGGUCGCAAGAUUA
rnacentral:rRNA from 1 species